rnacentral:rRNA from 1 species
UACGGGGGGGGCAAGCGUUGUUCGGAAUUACUGGGCGUAAAGGGCGCGUAGGCGGUGCUCUAAGUCGGAUGUGAAAACUCUGGGCUCAACCCAGAGCCUGCAUCCGAAACUGGAGUGCUAGAGUUCUGGAGGGGGUAGCGGAAUUCCUGGUGUAGCGGUGAAAUGCGUAGAUAUCAGGAGGAACACCGGUGGCGAAGGCGGCUACCUGGACAGAAACUGACGUGAGGCGCGAAAGCUAGGGGGAGCAAACAGG